rnacentral:tRNA from 1 species
GCCGGGGUGGUGAAAUCGGUAAACACAGGGGACUUAAAAUCCCCCGCCCUCUGGGCUUCCGGGUUCGAGUCCCGGCCCCGGCA